AUUUCAUAAGGGCAAUACAAUCGACAUUUCAAAAUUAAACAUUUUAGAGUAGCGAGUGGACAAUACAUAUAUUUAUUACAGGCACUUGUGGGUAGUUCUCUAGAUAUUGACACAACCAAAUGUGUUCUUUAGUUUCAUUUAGUAGAUACCAUCAGUCAAGUUUCAGUUAUAUUAGUAAAAUGUCUCUUUUUUUAUUUAUUCAAGUAUCAUUUAUUUAUCGAAAUCACAAACGCAUAUUGAUGUAAGGAUAUUGUCUGCAUCACCCUCUGAUUUACAUAUUUCUUUGAUGAUAUGUUACAUUGAACGGAACACAUUCGCCAUGUUCGAUCUUUUGUUUUGCAGGUUUAGUUAAGACUAGUAAGAUACUAGAAUAAUAAUCAUGCUCAUCGUAAGUAUUAAGUUUAAAAAUGUAUACGCUAUUUUG
rnacentral:lncRNA from 1 species